CUCCCAUUGAACCCCCCGUCUUUGGGAGCCCCGCCCCACAGAGACCCCCCCCCAUUGGGGACCCCAUAGGGACCCCCGUCUUUGGGUCCCCCCAUAGAGACCCUCAUUUUUGGGGACCCCCCUCUCCCCAGUGAAGCCCCCACGCUGGGGACCACGGCCCCAUGGAGACCCCAUGGAAGCCCCCAGUUUUGGACCCCACCCCUUGGGGACCCCCCAGAGACCCUCAUUUUAGGGGUCCCAGCCCCAUAAGGACCCCCCAUUUUUGGGAUCCCCAUUUUUGGGACCCCCAUUUUAGGUGACCCCCACCCCACAGAGACCCCAUUUUUGGCAACCCCACCCCACAGGGAUCCCCCAUUUUCAGGACCCCCAUUUUUGGGGACACCCCCCCAUGGAAACCCCACAGAGACCCCCAGUUAUCGGACCCCUCCCUCCCCUGAUGAGCGUGCGAUGCGCGUGCAAAUGAGCGUGCAAGGAGCGUGCAGCGGUGCGAUGGGUGGGAUGGCGCGAGGGGGGGGUCCCGGAAAUUGGGGGGGGGCACCCACCUGAAGGCCUUACACACCUGUGCACACUCACCCCGUCCCUUGCACACCCGUGCACACUCAUUCUCCCAGAGGCCUUGCACACUUGGACUAGGACUUGCACGCCCACAUGUGGUGCUUUACAGGAGGGAUUUGCACACUUCCUUGCACACCCUUGCACGUGCCCCUUGCACUCUCAUCUCCUGUGCACACUCAUUGCACACCAGUGCCAUUCAAACCCCUUUGCACACUGGCAUCACUUCUUGCAAACCCUUUGCACACUCAUUGCACAACAGUGCCGUUCAAACCCCUUUGCACACUGCCAUCACUUUUUGCACACCCAUUUGCACACUCGUUGCACACCAGUGUCUCUCCCACCCCUUGCACACACCUCACACACCCAUUUGCACACUCAUCCUUGCACACCCAUGUACGCACUCACCCUUGCACACCUCUCGCACACCCAUUUGCACACUCACUCCUUGCACACAUACCGCACACCCAUUUACACACUGACCCCUCCCAAAACGAAGCCCUCUGUGCAGGUGCCCCCCCCCCUCCGGGCGCCACGUUCCCCCCUUUUGCACACGCGUGUGCACUCAGCCCCCCCCCACCAACCUUGGAUGGCGGCCAUGGGGCGGGGGGCCAUGAGGGCGGGGCUCAGCCCCCCCAGCACCGCACCCCUACACAGACACAGCGCGCUGGCAGCCAUCCCAUAAUCGUCCAUCACAGCCCACCCCACAGCGCGCCAUCCCAUAAUAUCCCACCCCGCCAUCCACUUCCCGCAAUGCUCCAUCCCAUAAUAUCCCGUAACCUCCCCCAUAACCCCGUAAUCCCCCCACAAUCCCAUAAUCCCCCCCAUAAUCCCACCCCAAAACCCCCGAGUCCCACAGUCCCCCAAUCCCACAACCCCGGACUCUCACCCCAUAACCCCAUACCCCCCCAAUACCCCCCAUAACCCCCCCAAUCCCACAACAUCACAAU
rnacentral:lncRNA from 1 species